rnacentral:rRNA from 1 species
UACGUAGGGUGCAAGCGUUGUCCGGAAUUAUUGGGCGUAAAGAGCUCGUAGGCGGUCUGUUGCGUCGGCUGUGAAAACUCAGGGCUUAACUCUGAGCUUGCAGUGGGUACGGGCAGACUAGAGUGCGGUAGGGGAGACUGGAAUUCCUGGUGUAGCGGUGAAAUGCGCAGAUAUCAGGAGGAACACCGGUGGCGAAGGCGGGUCUCUGGGCCGUAACUGACGCUGAGACGCGAAAGCGUGGGGAGCGAACAGG